rnacentral:tRNA from 1 species
GGGGGUGUAGCUCAGCGGUUAGAGCGCCUGUCUGUCGAACAGGAAGUCGCGGGUUCAAAUCCCGUCUCCCCCGCCA